GGUUCUGGGGUGUUACAUGUGGGCUUGCAAUUCCCAAGAAGCAGAAAAAUCUUCUGCCGGAGCU
rnacentral:tRNA from 1 species